UUUUUGCAUAUUGAAAGAGACUGCUUGUCAGUUUGACCAAGAAAUCAAAAUUGUUUACAUUGGAGCUUGCAAACCAAAGUGUUCAGCGAUUUGCACCGAGGAAUACAAUCCUCAAUGUGGUACAGAUAGCAAGACAUACUCAAACCCUUGUACUUUUAAACAAGCUCAAUGUGAAAGUGACGGGAAAAUUAGAUUGGCGCAUCAUGGAGAGUGUAAAUAGCUGCCAAUAAUACAGAAUAGAGAACGAAGAGAUGCUGUCUGAUGUCAUAAGAUUAGUUUAUUAAUUAAUGUGUAGUUU